UACGUAGGGGACAAGCGUUGUCCGGAUUUAUUGGGCGUAAAGCGCUCGCAGGUGGUUCGUCGCGUCGUGCGUGAAAGACCCCGGCUCAACUGGGGAGGGUCGUGCGAUACGGGCGGACUGGAGGCCAGUAGGGGGAUGCGGAAUUCCGGGUGUAGUGGUGGAAUGCGUAGAGAUCCGGAGGAACACCAGCGGCGAAGGCGGCAUCCUGGACUGGUCCUGACACUCAGGAGCGAAAGCGUGGGGAGCGAGCCGG
rnacentral:rRNA from 1 species